rnacentral:rRNA from 1 species
GGUUAAGCGACUAAGCGUACACGGUGGAUGCCCUGGCAGUCAGAGGCGAUGAAGGGCGUGCUAAUCUGCGAUAAGCGCCGGUAAGGUGAUAUGAACCGUUAUAACCGGCGAUACCCGAAUGGGGAAACCCAGUGUGAUUCGUCACACUAUCAUUAACUGAAUCCAUAGGUUAAUGAGGCGAACCGGGGGAACUGAAACAUCUAAGUACCCCGAGGAAAAGAAAUCAACCGAGAUUCCCCCAGUAGCGGCGAGCGAACGGGGAGGAGCCCAGAGCCUGAAUCAGCAUGUGUGUUAGUGGAAGCGUCUGGAAAGGCGCGCGAUACAGGGUGACAGCCCCGUACACAAAAGCGCAUGUGUUGUGAGCUCGAUGAGUAGGGCGGGACACGUGGUAUCCUGUCUGAAUAUGGGGGGACCAUCCUCCAAGGCUAAAUACUCCUGACUGACCGAUAGUGAACCAGUACCGUGAGGGAAAGGCGAAAAGAACCCCGGCGAGGGGAGUGAAAAAGAACCUGAAACCGUGUACGUACAAGCAGUGGGAGCACAGGUUUACCUGUGUGACUGCGUACCUUUUGUAUAAUGGGUCAGCGACUUAUAUUCUGUAGCAAGGUUAACCGUAUAGGGGAGCCGGAGGGAAACCGAGUCUUAAC